UACAGAGGUCUCAAGCGUUGUUCGGAUUCAUUGGGCGUAAAGGGUGCGUAGGCGGCGCGGUAAGUCGGGUGUGAAAUCUCCGGGCUUAACUCGGAAAGGUCAGCCGAUACUGCGGGGCUAGAGUGCAGAAGGGGCAACUGGAAUUCUCGGUGUAGCGGUGAAAUGCGUAGAUAUCCGGAAGAACACCGAUGGCGAAGGCAACCACCUGGGCCUGAAUUGACGCUGAGGCACGAAAGCGUGGGGAGCAAACAGG
rnacentral:rRNA from 1 species